rnacentral:misc_RNA from 1 species
GAAACCUCUUAAAUGCAGGGACAUCAUUUCUCCCUCACAAGUCAUAAUACAAAAUUGGUAAAGCAAUCUCAGUAAGAAGAGAAAGGAGGAAUGCUAGGAAAAACAAGCUCUUAAUCCAUCUCCAAAACAACCCACCUCCAACUCCAUCACCACAAGAUCCACUUCCCCUUCCACAAUUCCAAUUUCAAUAUUGGCUGGUGGCUUAAAGAGUCUCAGGCUUUUGGGUUGGAACUGCCAAACAUUAUCUGGUCUAAGUUGGUGUGAUAAUUUUAUAUGGCUUCCCUUGAAGCUUUCAACUGUAUUUGUU